rnacentral:lncRNA from 1 species
CACAACAGUGGUAUAUAUAUAACACCAAAAAAAUUAACUCAGAAAUAGAUAACUGUAAAAGUUUUGCUCUUUAAUGAAUUACUUACACAGAUAAUAACCCAAAUUUAAUAGAAUAUUCAUAAAAGUACUAUUGAGAAACAUACAUUUAUUAUAUAUGAGUAUAUAACCCGGAUGCGCCUUCUAAACUGCAUCCAACAAAAAUAGUCAUGAAAAUGCAAUAGAAAAACAUGUGAUGGAACUGUAUGUUCUUUUGAUCAGUGAUUACAAAAUGUUAAUUAAUUUCAAUAUUAAUAAAAUCAGACCAUCAGAGAAAAACACAUUCCUUAAUUAUAGGGGGUGUUAAACGGGUCGUGUUUGCGGUUUGGCGGGUUCAACGCGACCCGAAACCGAAAAUUUUAGAUGAACCCGAACACGACCUGAGCCCGAAAAUCG